ensembl:lncRNA
UUUAAAGGAAUUGAUCUUGAGAAAGACCUCCCCGUUCUUUUAACGCAUGCGCGCUCUUAUAGUUUUUUCACUGACCCCCACUCCAUUCAUGAAUUAAGUCAGUGGCGCGCGUAUGGUGACAAACUUUGGGAUCUUGUCUUAGAUGACGAUAAGCCAGCUAAAAAGAUUUCUAAACUAUGGAGAGUUGUCCACAAUGAACUUUUAAUGGUACAGGCAGAGAAAAAAGCGGCAGAAAAAAUUAAGGUUGCUCAGGAUCGGAACCGUCAUUACAGCAAUCACAGUGCCUCUGUUUUCUCUGGCCCACCUAAUCCCCCCACCUUUGCUGCGGUUCAUGUACCGCCUGAGGCUCUUGCCUCUGAGUCGCCUUCCGCGCCUCCCCUCCCCCCACCUCCUACUCCUCCUACGCCUUCCUUGCCGCAGCCUGCUCCGCCGCAGCCCUGCCCGCUGCCCGAGCCGGCCCGAGAGCCGCCGCAGCCUGCUCCUCCACCGCCCUUGCCUCACCCGUCUCCGCCGGACUGUUCUCGUUCGCGAAACCCCUUUGUUAGCCCUGAGCCUGUCCCUGGGGCAGAGUCUGACCUCGUGGAGGCCAUGGUUAGGGGCCAUAGAGAACUCUGGGCUGCGGUUGCUCGUGAUGGCUUACAAAAGGGUGAUUCUGACAUGCUAGCGGCUGCCCAAGACAGCAUGGCGUUCCCUGUUUUAUUUGUCCCGAAUCCGCAAGGGGGCGGCAAUGUUGCGCAGGUGACUAAUCUUGAUUGGAAGCUGCUAGCGCAGCUGCGAGCAACAGUGGGGAAUUACGGUGUCACCAGUGAACCAGUUAAACAGAUGCUUGAUUAUAUUUUUAACGCUUUUACCCUUCUUCCUGCUGACAUUAAAGGCAUUACUAAGCUCAUGUAUACCCCGCAUCAGCGACUGCUUUUUGAGGCUCGCUGGAGGGAGGAAGCCGCUGUUACUGCUGCUGCCCCCAGGCCAGCGGCAGAUCCCUUGACAGGUGUUACAGUAGCUGAGCUCAUGGGUGAAGGGGAUCACAUGAGAGUAGAAGCUCAAGCGGCACUAGGACCUGCCAAGCUACGGGAAGCUAUGGCAGUUGCUAAGAAAGCUAUGGAUAAGGUCCGAGCCCCAGGUGGGAUCCCGAUGUAUAUGAGCAUUAAACAAAGCAGAGAGGAAUCUCUAGGCUCUUUUGUUGACAAAGUUAUGGAAGCCAUUUCAAAAGCUGGGGUUCAAGAGCAUAUGCAUGACCCGUUGCUUAAACAAUGCCUUUUACAAAAUGGCAAUCAGGCCACCCGUGCCCUUAUUACUUCCACCCCAGGGGAUUGAGCAUAUGCAUGACCCGUUGCUUAAACAAUGCCUUUUACAAAAUGGCAAUCAGGCCACCCGUGCCCUUAUUACUUCCACCCCAGGGGAUUGGACUGUCCAGCAACUUUUAGAAAAAGCUGCGACCAUGCCCACUGGCUCGCAACUAUUCUUAGCACAAGCCUUAGAAAAAUUAGGUGAAGGGCUUAAAGAACAGGCUAUCAGCUCUCAAAAUCAGGUUAUGGCAGCCCUUGCUCCUCUCCAAGCGGCAGCAGCACGUCCCCGCCCAGCUCCAGGUGGCCGCAUGAAGUGUUAUCGCUGCGGGACACCCGGUCACAUUCGUCGAAUUCAUCGGAAUUUAUGGGGGCGCUACAACCUGGUCUCCCCAACCCGGCUAUGUUGCCCCAAAACUGGCCUCUUUUAAUUAUAGAUCUCAAGGACUGCUUUUUUACUAUUCCAUUGCAUCCAGAUGACACCAAGCGCUUCACCUUUACCUUACCUGCCCUGAAUAAAGGAGAACCAGCCAGGCGAUUUGAAUGGACUGUAUUGCUGCAAGGAAUGAAAAACUCACCUACUUUGUGCCAACUGUCCCCUAUGGGUUCCGGCUAAAUGGACUAAGCCUGUUGUCACUGAUGAGCAACCCACAACAGAGGAAGGUGAGAAGAGUACAGAGGAAGAUCUCACAAAUCCUGCAGGAAGUUGAGCAACGGUUUCGCGUUACCUUCCUUGUGGAAUCUGAACAGGAGAUAGAGGAUCAUCUCCUUCCACAUCUGCAGAGACACUUUUUACGCUUUUGCCGAUCUGCUUGCUUUGCAUGUAAUUGUAGUGAUCAUAAGGCGUGGGUAAGAUUGCUUUGCGGAGGUUGUAAUUUACAGUGGUGGGUCCACCAGCGACAUCUAUCAGAAGGGUUUUAGUGUCAGUCUUGCAGUUUUCACUGGCACCGUGAGACGGCUCAAGGAGCAUUAGUAUAACUCACAGGCAAAAAUAUCAUUGACAGUUUGCAAUUAGUUGAAGAUCUUGAAGAUCAUUCUAAGUCCAUCCACGCCGAAAUUAAGAAUUUGAUCGAACACUCCCAAAAGAUAAAAAAGGACUCCGGAUUUUUCGGAUUAGAAGGACUUACAGAGUGGAUGGGCCUAGAAGGAUGGAUGAAAAGUGUGAUCAAAUCUUUAAUGCUAUUGCUAAUAAUUGUUUUGCUUAGUUUACUUAUGCUUAGCUGUAUAAUGUCAUGUAUAAAAAAUUUAAUUUUGAAGUCAGUCAAUAUGACUAUGAUCAUGCAAAAAGAAAACGGGGGAAGUGUUGAGAGUCUUUCUGAAGAAUGGCUAAAAAGCAAAGGUCAUGAUGACAUAGCAGGCUUAGUAAAGAUGCAGACUUGGCAAGGACACUAAAUCCUUGAGCAAGAAGUUGUACAAAUGACAGGAUGUGAAUCCAGAUAAGUAAGCAGAAAGAAACCAUAUGGAAGAGAAAAGAUAAGACCACAGUGAUCUCAUGGAAUAGCUCCCACCAAUAAGGAGCUCAGCUUUUGCAAUAUGUAUGAGCUAAUUAGUAGUACUAUAAGUAUGUGUAGAUUAUUACAAUAAACGAGACUUGCUGACCACAAUGCCGUGAGUGCUUGUCUCCCGCGACUCCACCCAACAUAUCCCCACAUGUUGUGAUGGGAUUAUUGUGCACUGCGCACCAGUGUCAACCAAGGCAUCAUAUCUUUGUGGUUCUGAUGUA